AUUGAACGCUGGCGGCAGGCCUAACACCUGCAAGUCGAACGAGUGGCGGACGGGUGAGUAAUGUCUGGGAAACUGCCCGAUGGAGGGGGAUAACUACUGGAAACGGUAGCUAAUACCGCAUACCCUCGGAUGUGCCCCGAUGGGAUUAGCUAGUAGGUGGGGUAACGGCUCACCUAGGCGACGAUCCCUAGCUGGUCUGAGAGGAGGACCAGCCACACUUGAAAUGAGACACGGUCCAGACUCCUACGGGAGGCAGCAGUGGGGAAUAUUGCACAAUGGGCGCAAGCCUGAUUCAGCCAUGCCGCGUGUAUGAAGAAGGCCGUCGGGUUGUAAAGUACUUUCAGCGAGGAGGCGUUACUCGCAGAAGAAGCACCGGCUAACUCCGUGCCAGCAGCCGCGGUAAUAC
rnacentral:rRNA from 1 species